rnacentral:rRNA from 1 species
AGCUCCAAUAGCGUAUAUUAAAGUUGUUGCAGUUAAAAAGCUCGUAGUUGGAUUUUUGUCAUUCGCUUGCUUGCUGCCUUAAAUGUCAGCAUAGUGUAGCAGUGACAUUUCCCUUGUAGAGUGACUUGUCAGUCUAUAAAGGGCAUUUACUUUGAGUAAAUUAGAGUGUUUCAAGCAAGCAAAAGCUAUGAAUACUGCAGCAUGGAAUAAUAAUAUAGGACGUUGGUUCUAUGUUGUUGGUUCUGAGAGCCGAUGUAAUGAUUAAUAGGAACAGUUGGGGGCAUUCGUAUUCAACAGCUAGAGGUGAAAUUCUUAGAUUUGUUGAAGACGAACUACAGCGAAAGCAUUUGCCAAGGAUGUUUUCA